AAAAUAAAAAUUUAUUAGAAUUUAUAAUAUUUGUCGACCAAUAAUUAUCAUCGCCAAAUCGUCAUCUUUAGAGUCGUCUUUGAAGAAGAAGUGGAGAAAGAGAAAGAAGAAGAUAAUUGAAGGGAGUCUUAAAUCGACUUGAGGUUGUGGGGAUUGGGAUUCGAUUUGUUUAAUGCAAAUUUUGUAUUAGUGUUUUCUGAUUCAGCUCUGAUAUGAAUCUGCUGAAACCCUAGGUCUUCUCUGAUAUUAACUGGGGUUUGGGUUUAAAUUGUUUCUACAUACAUGAAAACGGACUUGGUAAGCCUAUACCUUGAUGAAGUCAGUGAACUUGUAUACUGCUGCAUGUUAAAGAAAAAAUAUGCUACCUGAUUGGAAGAAGCUUCACAAUAGAUUGACAGUUGAAUCUUCAGUUGAAUGUGUGCUUUUGUUAAUUGGAACAUAUAGGAGUAAAGAGGGAGGCUGGUAAUGAUAUGCUGUGAAAAGAAGUCAUGGAGCAUCCCCUAGAGAAACGAUUUCCAGUCAAUGCGAAUGAUUAUAAGUUAUAUGAAGAAGUUGGAGAAGGUGUCAGCGCCACUGUGUACAGGGCUUUAUGCGUUCCAAUUAAUGAGAUUGUUGCAAUCAAGGUUCUUGAUUUGGAAAGGUGCAAUAAUGACCUGGAUGGCAUUCGAAGAGAGGUCCAGACCAUGAGUUUGAUUGAUCACCCAAAUUUAUUACGGGCACAUUGUUCAUUUGCUAGCGGUCACAACCUUUGGGUUGUGAUGCCAUACAUGGCUGGGGGAUCCUGCCUGCAUAUAAUGAAAUCUUCUUAUCCUGAAGGUUUUGAAGAGCCUUUCAUUGCUACUUUGUUGCGUGAAGUUCUUAAAGCUCUUGUUUAUCUUCAUGCUCAUGGAGACAUUCACAGAGAUGUGAAGGCUGGGAAUAUCCUAAUUGAUUCUAAUGGUACUGUCAAGUUGGCAGACUUUGGAGUAUCAGCAUGCAUGUUUGAUACUGGAGACAGACAGCGUUCCAGAAAUACUUUUGUUGGAACUCCUUGCUGGAUGGCUCCAGAAGUUAUGCAGCAAUUGCAUGGUUAUGACUUCAAAGCAGACAUCUGGUCUUUUGGAAUAACAGCUCUCGAACUGGCUAAUGGCCAUGCUCCAUUUUCCAAGUAUCCACCAAUGAAAGUUUUGUUGAUGACCUUGCAAAACGCUCCUCCUGGUCUAGACUAUGAAAGGGACAAGAAGUUCUCAAAGUCUUUCAAGGAGUUGGUAGCUGCUUGCUUGGUGAAGGACCCAAAGAAACGUCCAACUUCAGAGAAGCUUCUGAAGCACCAUUUUUUUAAGCAUGCACGCUCAUAUGAUUAUCUAGAUCGUGCCAUUCUUGAUGGACUUCCUCCAUUAGGUGAACGUUUUAGGGUGCUAAAGACAAAAGAAGCUGAUCUUCUUGUACAGAAUAAAGCUCUCUAUGAGGACAAGGAGCAAUUAUCACAGCAAGAGUAUAUAAAAGGGAUCAGUGCUUGGAAUUUCAACCUAGAGGACUUAAAAAGUCAGGCUGCACUUAUUCAAGAUUAUGAUGAUGCGCCAAAUGCAGAAGAUCAAGAGGGGAGCAGAAAACAAAGGGAACAGCAUGAUGUCGUUGGAUUAUCAGUUGAGAAGAUGUCUUCUGAAACUACUAAUUCCAAUGCUGCAAGAAGCCAGGAGGUUGGGCUUAAUGAUCUUCAUAAUUUGGAGAGUUCACUUGCUUCAUUUCCUAUUAAGCCACUUCAGGCACUCAAAGGCUGUUUUGACAUUGGUGAAGGUGAGGGUGCAAAUGGUCCAAAUUGGAAAGAUGUUAUGCCAUUGGAAAGUGAUACAAAGUCAUCAAGACCCAUGGACAAAGAUGCUGGAAGACACGAGGGUGAGAAUUCCGGACAAAGUGGCUCUUUCACACGUCAGGUUAUUCCAGAGCUUAAAAAGUACUUGAGCGGUUCACUAAUACCUGAUAGUGCCUUUUCUCCUAACAAGGUUACUGGAGAUGGGGACAGGGACUUCCCACAGCCUAAAUUUCCAUCUGAACGCAACUACAGUGGUCCAUUGUACCGGCAGAGGAGAGAAGCAAAUAACAUAUCUGAGGAUGCUUCAGAAGGAGCAGUUGUUCAGCGGGGACGAUUUAAGGUGACUUCAGCCGAUCUCAGUCCCAAGGGACCUACUAACUGCACGGUUAACCCGGCCACUGGAGGUUCAACCUGUUCAACAUCUCCAAACCUUAGAGCAAGUGCAGUUCUCCCAUCUCUACAAGGCAUUUUGCAACAUAACACCAUGCAAAGGGAAGAAAUCAUUAGACUGAUCAAGUAUUUGGAGCAAAAUUCUAGUAAGCUUGGGGACUUGUCAGAGGUAGGCACCAAUGACCUUUUGCUGGCAACCUUUUUUUUUGGUUUAAAAGAGGUCUUGGCCUAGGGAUAGGAGAGGAGAUUGUGGAUUCUGGGAUUUGAAUCCGAGCGCUGCUAAAUACCAGCACUUAAAUACCGCCUUCUUCUGCAAGGGAAAGAGAGCUGCAAUCUCAGGUUCUUCAGCUGCAGCAGAGUAUCGGGAAUCUGGUUGAGGAAUUGCAGAGACAGAAAAUGAAGAACAUGCAG